rnacentral:rRNA from 1 species
AGAUUGAACGCUGGCGGCAUGCCUUACACAUGCAAGUCGAACGCGAAAGCGGGGCAACCCGCAAGUAGAGUGGCGAACGGGUGAGUAAUACAUCGGAACAUUUCCAGUAGCGGGGGAUAACCUGUCGAAAGAUAGGCUAAUACCGCAUACGACCUAAGGGUGAAAGCGGAGGACCGCAAGGCUUCGCACUAUUGGAGUGGCCGAUGUCGGAUUAGCUAGGUUGGCGGGGUAACAGCCCACCAAGGCUACGAUCCGUAGC